rnacentral:misc_RNA from 1 species
UACUAAGACCAGCCGCUGGAGCCCUGUUGCAAUUUCAAACUUUCCUAUCAUCCCUUUUCAAAAGCAUGCCAUAUAUAUAACUUAUUAAUUUCUUUUUGCCAAGUAAAACACUAAGCCAACUGAAUGAAGAGAAAUGGAAAUUGUUAUCACCGUAUAUGCGAGUUUUUCCUUUGAAAAAUGAUUUAGUAGAACAUGACAUGAGUAUGCUUUAGUCUUUUCACAAACGCUUCAGUUUUGUAAAUUAGUAUACCAUCUAUCAGAAAUCAAUUUCAAGCCCGUUCGUGAAUGUGGAAGAGAAAAGUUUGCCAUUCACUAUAACCAAAUUAUAGGCAGGGACAAUGUUAAGACUCAUAGAUUGGGUUGGUUUGCUAAGGCCAAUGUCUGCUUUGCCGGACCCUACAUGCCUCCCAACAGCGUUUGCUUUUGGGAAUUGAGUUAUUGAGUCAUCGAAGAAUCUUUAGCAUUAAAGGUAAAUCGAAGUGUCGUGGGCGUCCCUCCAAACGUGUGCAAGGUUGGAGAGUUG